UAGGGAAUCUUCCACAUGGACGAAAGUCUGAUGGAGCAACGCCGCGUGAGUGAAGAAGGGUUUCGGCUCGUAAAGCUCUGUUGGUAGUGAAGAAAGAUAGAGGUAGUAACUGGCCUUUAUUUGACGGUAAUUACUUAGAAAGUCACGGCUAACUACGUGCC
rnacentral:rRNA from 1 species